CUGUGACCAGGUUAGAGAGGGCAGCAAGUCUACCGCCCGGAGAAACCACUGGAAGUAGAGAAAACCAGAGGCAGGAAGCUCAGCUGGCUGAGAAGCCUGUGCUCCCCAUCAUGCCCACCAGCACCAUGCUGCUCCCCGCUGUGCUUCUUGUGCUGUAAGUCCAUCCUCACAUCCUCCUGAUGCUGGUGUGGAUGCCCCAUGUCAGCCUAAGAAAUCCUGCACCUCCUCCCCUGC
rnacentral:lncRNA from 1 species